rnacentral:rRNA from 1 species
AUUGAACGCUGGCGGCAGGCCUAACACAUGCAAGUCGAGCGGAUGCAGGGGGCUUGCUCCUGGAUUCAGCGGCGGACGGGGGAGUAAUGCCUAGGAAUCUGCCUGGUAGUGGGGGAUAACGUCCGGAAACGGGCGCUAAUACCGCAUACGUCCUGAGGGAGAAAGUGGGGGAUCUUCGGACCUCACGCUAUCAGAUGAGCCUAGGUCGGCUUAGCUAGUUGGUGGGGUAAAGGCCUACCAAGGCGACGAUCCGUAACUGGUCUGAGAGGAUGAGCAGUCACACUGGAACUGAGACACGGUCCAGACUCCUACGGGAGGCAGCAGUGGGGAAUAUUGGACAAUGGGCGAAAGCCUGAUCCAGCCAUGCCGCGUGUGUGAAGAAGGUCUUCGGAUUGUAAAGCACUUUAAGUUGGGGGGAAGGGCAGUAAGUUAAUACCUUGCUGUUUUGACGGUACCAACAGAAUAAGCACCGGCUAACUUCGUG